rnacentral:rRNA from 1 species
GACGAACGCUGGCGGCGUGCUUAACACAUGCAAGUCGAACGGAAAGGCCCUGCUUUUGUGGGGUGCUCGAGUGGCGAACGGGUGAGUAACACGUGAGUAACCUGCCCUUGACUUUGGGAUAACUUCAGGAAACUGGGGCUAAUACCGGAUAGGAGCUCCUGCUGCAUGGUGGGGGUUGGAAAGUUUCGGCGGUUGGGGAUGGACUCGCGGCUUAUCAGCUGGUUGGUGGGGUAGUGGCUUACCAAGGCUUUGACGGGUAGCCGGCCUGAGAGGGUGACCGGCCACAUUGGGACUGAGAUACGGCCCAGACUCCUACGGGAGGCAGCAGUGGGGAAUAUUGCGCAAUGGGCGGAAGCCUGAUGCAGCAACGCCGCGUGCGGGAUGACGGCCUUCGGGUUGUAAACCGCUUUCGCCUGUGACGAAGCGUGAGUGACGGUAAUGGGUAAAGAAGCACCGGCUAACUACGUG